rnacentral:rRNA from 1 species
UUACGACCGUAUCACACUGAAAUACCGGUUUCCGUACGAUCCCCAAAGUUAAGCAAUGUUCUUCCUAGUCAGUACACAGAUGGGUGGCCGCAUGGAAAUUCCAUGUGCUGUAA